AAGAGAGAAAAGAGAGAAAGAAGAAGAAGAGAAGGAGAGGAAGAAGAAAAGAAAGAAGGGAGAGGAAGAUGAAACCAAGAAUAAAGAGAGAGAGGAGAGAAGAGACCGGCGGAGGUGGCUGGAAAAGUGGCCGCCGGCGAGCAAAACUCCGGUGAUCGGAGAGUGGAGGAAGAUCAAGCAUAUGGGAGGGAGACAAGCGGGGGCAUUAUUAGAAGAUUUCAAUCGUUUUUCGGUUUAAGGGUAGAGCUUCAAACUGUUAAGAAGGAGAUCGUGUAUAAGAGUGAAUCCCACUCAAGGUUGGGCCACAUGACUUUAUUUCAUCAUAUGUUUCAUAGUUGUGUUUCAUUUUCCGCUGCAAAGUUUCUAUUUCUUCAUCAUGUAUUAUUUCAUGUUUAGGAUUGUAAAAGACAUGGAAAAAUCUGAUACCAUACGUUCAUUUUGUAAAGGAAAAUUCAGCUGUAUUUUGGUUAUUUGCAAGUGAUGUUAUAUUUUUGG